rnacentral:lncRNA from 1 species
AAGGACUUUAUUUCUAUUUUGUUAGGUCAUUUAUGUAUUGUUAGCAGUUGUUUUUUCUUUAUGGAAUAAUAAAUGCAUCGUGUAACCUCAAUGUUACUCCAAGACUUCAUUUGAACUUUGUGUUAUGUGCCCUUUCUAAAGAAUCAUGUUCAGAGGCGCGGGUCAAGGAUUUGGAUUGAAUCAAAAUCUGCUUCGUAUAUAGGAUGUCUAUUAUUGUUAUAUGACUAUUUUUUAAAGACAUAUACAUAUAUACAUAAAAAUUUUACCGAACUUUACGGGUGCCCGUCAUCCCUCUUUAUAUAAUAUAGGUCCGUCCUCUGAUCAUGUACCAAGUCCGAACCCAAGAGCUCAGUCUCUUUGAGUUCGAACCAACUAAUUGGUGAUCAUCUACAUUGUGUUUAUGCUAACAUAAAUAUGUUAAACAGGAAGGUUAUAUGGUUCUCCCUAGCAAAUCAGCAGAACCAGUUCCCCUCGAUCGCUUAAAGAGCAGAUUGAUCUUCCAUGAUGGUCGCUUGGUUCAGCGCCCAAAUCCAUUCAAUGCCUUAAUCACCUAUAUGUGGCUGCCAUUCGGAUUUGCUCUCGCUAUAUUCCGUGUAUACUUCAAUCUCCCUCUCCCAGAGCGCAUUGUUCGCUUGGUUCAGCGCCCAAAUCCACUCAAUGCCUUAAUCACCUAUAUGUGGCUGCCAUUCGGAUUUGCUCUCGCUAUAUUCCGUGUAUACUUCAAUCUCCCUCUCCCAGAGCGCAUUGUUCGUUAUACAUAUGCAUUGGUUGGGAUCAAGCUUGAGAUCAAAGGCCCUCGACCACCUCCACCAUCACCAGG